rnacentral:rRNA from 1 species
GACGAGAAGCUUGCUUCUCUGAUGUUAGCGGCGGACGGGUGAGUAACACGUGGAUAACCUACCUAUAAGACUGGGAUAACUUCGGGAAACCGGAGCUAAUACCGGAUAAUAUUUUGAACCGCAUGGUUCAAAAGUGAAAGACGGUCUUGCUGUCACUUAUAGAUGGAUCCGCGCUGCAUUAGCUAGUUGGUAAGGUAACGGCUUACCAAGGCAACGAUGCAUAGCCGACCUGAGAGGGUGAUCGGCCACACUGGAACUGAGACACGGUCCAGACUCCUACGGGAGGCAGCAGUAGGGAAUCUUCCGCAAUGGGCGAAAGCCUGACGGAGCAACGCCGCGUGAGUGAUGAAGGUCUUCGGAUCGUAAAACUCUGUUAUUAGGGAAGAACAUAUGUGUAAGUAACUGUGCACAUCUUGACGGUACCUAAUCAGAAAGCCACGGCUAACUACGUGCCAGCAGCCGCGGUAAUACGUAGGUGGCAAGCGUUAUCCGGAACUAUUGGGCGUAAAGCGCGCGUAGGCGGUUUUUUAAGUCUGAUGUGAGAGCCCCGGCUCAACCGUGGAGGGUCAUUGGAAACUGGAAAACUUGAGUGCAGAAGAGGAAAGUGGAAUUCCAUGUGUAGCGGUGAAAUGCGCAGAGAUAUGGAGGAACACCAGUGGCGAAGGCGACUUUCUGGUCUGUAACUGACGCUGAUGUGCGAAAGCGUGGGGAUCAAACAGGAUUAG